rnacentral:rRNA from 1 species
UGGGGAAUUUUGGACAAUGGGGGCAACCCUGAUCCAGCAAUGCCGCGUGUGUGAAGAAGGCCUUCGGGUUGUAAAGCACUUUUGUCCGGAAAGAAAUCCUUGGCUCUAAUACAGUCGGGGGAUGACGGUACCGGAAGAAUAAGCACCGGCUAACUACGUGCCAGCAGCCGCGGUAAUACGUAGGGUGCAAGCGUUAAUCGGAAUUACUGGGCGUAAAGCGUGCGCAGGCGGUUUGCUAAGACCGAUGUGAAAUCCCCGGGCUCAACCUGGGAACUGCAUUGGUGACUGGCAGGCUAGAGUAUGGCAGAGGGGGGUAGAAUUCCACGUGUAGCAGUGAAAUGCGUAGAGAUGUGGAGGAAUACCGAUGGCGAAGGCAGCCCCCUGGGCCAAUACUGACGCUCAUGCACGAAAGCGUGGGGAGCAAACAGGAUUAGAUACCCUGGUAGUCCACGCCCUAAACGAUGUCAACUAGUUGUUGGGGAUUCAUUUCCUUAGUAACGUAGCUAACGCGUGAAGUUGACCGCCUGGGGAGUACGGUCGCAAGAUUAAAACUCAAAUGAAUUGACGGGGUCAUAGCUGUUUCCU